AGGGAAGUGGUGACUAGUGACAGAGUUAGGGAGGGAAGGGGUGACUAGUGACAAAGUGAGGAAGGGGUGACUAGUGACAGAGUGAGGGAGGGAAGGGGGUGACUAGUGACAGUCACCACCUCCUUCACUCUGUCACUAGUCACCCCCUCCCUCACUCUGUCACUGUGUCACCCCCUUCCUCACUCUGUCACUAGUCACCCUCUCUCUCACUCUGUCACUAGUCACCCUCUCUCUCACUCUGUCUCUAGUCACCCCGUCCCUCACUCUGUCACUAGAGUG